rnacentral:rRNA from 1 species
GCAGGACGGACUACAGCGAAAGCAUUUGCCAAGCGCGUCUUCAUUAAUCAAGAACGAAAGUCAGAGGUUCGAAGGCGAUCAGAUACCGCCCUAGUUCUGACCGUAAACGAUGCCAACUAGCGAUCCGCCGGCGGCUUCUCGGCCCUGGUGGGGAGCUUCCCGGAAACGAAAGUCUUCCGGUUCCGGGGGAAGUAUGGUUGCAAAGCUGAAACUUAAAGGAAUUGACGGAAGGGCACCACCAGGAGUGGAGCCUGCGGCUUAAUUUGACUCAACACGGGAAAACUCACCCGGCCCGGACACCGUGAGGAUUGACAGAUUGAUAGCUUUUUCAUGAUUCGGUGGUUGGUGGUGCAUGGCCGUUCUUAGUUCGUGGAUCGAUUUGUCUGGUUUAUUCCGAUAACGAGCGAGACUCCAGCCUACUAACUAGUGCGGGCAUUGCCUCUGUGCUUGUCACUUCUUAGAGGGAUUGGCUGCGUCUAGCGGCACGAAACGGAGCAAUAACAGGUCUGUGAUGCCCUUAGAUGUCCGGGGCUGCACGCGCGCUACACUGGCAAAGGCAGCRUGCUUGUCCGCCUCCGAAAGGAGCCGGUAAACCCUUGAAAAUUUGCCGUGAUUGGGAUCGGAAAUUGCAAUUAUUUUCCGUGAACGAGGAAUUCCUAGUAAGUGCGAGUCAUCAGCUCGCGUUGAUUACGUCCCUG